UUGGGGUGUCGCCAAGUGGUAAGGCAGCGGACUUUGACUCCGUUAUUCGCAGGUUCGAAUCCUCCCACCCCA
rnacentral:tRNA from 1 species